UGUUUGGGCAAUGGAAGGAAAGACACAGC
rnacentral:piRNA from 1 species